UUUAUACAAUGGAGAGUUUGAUCCUGGCUCAGGAUGAACGCUAGCGGCAGGCUUAACACAUGCAAGUCGAGGGGCAGCAUAAACAUUGCUUGCAAUGUUUGAUGGCGACCGGCGCACGGGUGCGUAA
rnacentral:rRNA from 1 species